GCCCUUCGGGGUACACGAGUGGCGAACGGGUGAGUAACACGUGGGUGACCUGCCCUGUACUUCGGGAUAAGCCUGGGAAACUGGGUCUAAUACCGGAUAUGACCUUCUCCUGCAUGGGGGUUGGUGGAAAGCUUUUGCGGUACAGGAUGGGCCCGCGGCCUAUCAGCUUGUUGGUGGGGUAAUGGCCUACCAAGGCGACGACGGGUAGCCGGCCUGAGAGGGCGACCGGCCACACUGGGACUGAGACACGGCCCAGACUCCUACGGGAGGCAGCAGUGGGGAAUAUUGCACAAUGGGCGGAAGCCUGAUGCAGCGACGCCGCGUGAGGGAUGACGGCCUUCGGGUUGUAAACCUCUUUCAGUAGGGACGAAGCGCAAGUGACGGUACCUACAGAAGAAGCACCGGCCAACUACGUGCCAGCAGCCGCGGUAAUACGUAGGGUGCGAGCGUUGUCCGGAUUUACUGGGCGUAAAGAGCUCGUAGGCGGUUUGUCACGUCGUCUGUGAAAACCCGAGGCUUAACCUCGGGCCUGCAGGCGAUACGGGCAGACUUGAGUACUGUAGGGGAGACUGGAAUUCCUGGUGUAGCGGUGGAAUGCGCAGAUAUCAGGAGGAACACCGGUGGCGAAGGCGGGUCUCUGGGCAGUAACUGACGCUGAGGAGCGAAAGCGUGGGUAGCGAACA
rnacentral:rRNA from 1 species